rnacentral:rRNA from 1 species
GUGUCAGCCGCCGCGGUAAUACGGAGGGUGCAAGCGUUAUCCGGAUUCACUGGGUUUAAAGGGUGCGUAGGCGGGUAGGUAAGUCAGUGGUGAAAUCCCCGAGCUUAACUUGGGAACUGCCGUUGAUACUAUCUAUCUUGAAUUCUGUGGAGGUAAGCGGAAUAUGUCAUGUAGCGGUGAAAUGCUUAGAUAUGACAUAGAACACCUAUUGCGAAGGCAGCUUGCUACACAGUUAUUGACGCUGAGGCACGAAAGCGUGGGGAUCAAACAGGAUUAGAUACCCGGGUAGUCC